rnacentral:rRNA from 1 species
AGCGAACGCUGGCGGCAGGCCUAACACAUGCAAGUCGAACGAACCUUUCGGGGUUAGUGGCGGACGGGUGAGUAACACGUGGGAACGUGCCUUUAGGUUCGGAAUAACUCAGGGAAACUUGUGCUAAUACCGAAUGUGCCCUUCGGGGGAAAGAUUUAUCGCCUUUAGAGCGGCCCGCGUCUGAUUAGCUAGUUGGUUGAGGUAAUGGCUCACCAAGGCGACGAUCAGUAGCUGGUCUGAGAGGAUGAUCAGCCACAUUGGGACUGAGACACGGCCCAAACUCCUACGGGAGGCAGCAGUGGGGAAUCUUGCGCAAUGGGCGAAAGCCUGACGCAGCCAUGCCGCGUGAAUGAUGAAGGUCUUAGGAUUGUAAAAUUCUUUCACCGGGGACGAUAAUGACGGUACCCGGAGAAGAAGCCCCGGCUAACUUCAUGCCAGCCGCCGCAGUAA